rnacentral:rRNA from 1 species
UCGGUCAGAUGUGAAAGCCCAGGGCUCAACCCUGGACGUGCAUUUGAAACAGUAAGACUUGAGUACUGGAGAGGAAAGCGGAAUUCCUGGUGUAGAGGUGAAAUUCGUAGAUAUCAGGAGGAACACCGAUGGCGAAGGCAGCUUUCUGGACAGAAACUGACGCUGAUGCGCGAAGGCGUGGGUAGCGAACAGGAUUAGAUACCCUGGUAGUCCACGCAGUAAACGAUGUACACUAGGUGUAGGUGAUAUUAAAAUUGUCUGUGCCGCAGCUAACGCAUUAAGUGUACCGCCUGGGGAGUACGGUCGCAAGACUAAAACUCAAAGGAAUUGACAGGGGCCCGCACAAGCGGUGGAGCAUGUGCUUUAAUUCGAUGCAACGCGAAGAACCUUACCAGGGUAUGACAUGUGAGCUUCGACCUUCGGGGAGAGGUUAAUCCUGUGAAAGCAGGACGAAUCACACAGGUGUUGCAUGGCUGUCGUCAGCUCGUGUCGUGAGAUGUUGGGUUAAGUCCCGCAACGAGCGCAACCCUUGCUGUUAGUUACCAUCGGGUAAUGCCGGGGACUCUAGCAGGACUGCCGGUGAUAAACCGGAGGAAGGUGGGGAUGAUGUCAAGUCAUUAUGACCCUUUACACCCUGGGCUAACCACGUGCUACAAUGGUCGGUACAAAGGGGAGCAAUACCGCGAGGUGGAGCAAAUCCCAAAAAGCCGGCCUCAGUACGGAUUGCAGUCUGCAACUCGACUGCAUGAAGCUGGAAUCGCUAGUAAUCGUGGAUCAGCAUGCCACGGUGAAUACGUUCCCGGGCCUUGUACACACCGCCCGUCACACCAUGAGAGUUGAUUAUACCCGACGUCGUUGGGCCAACCUUUUAUUAGGAGGCAGGCGCCUAAGGUAUGGUUGAUAAUUGGGGUG